CAGGCCUAACACAUGCAAGUCGAGCGGUAAGGCACCUUCGGGUGUACACGAGCGGCGAACGGGUGAGUAACACGUGAGUAACCUGCCCUUCUCAUCGGAAUAAGCGUUGGAAACGACGUCUAAUGCCGAAUAUGACUUCGGACCGCAUGGUCUGAAGUGGAAAGCUCCGGCGGAGAAGGAUGGACUCGCGGCCUAUCAGCUUGUUGGUGAGGUAAUGGCUCGCCAAGGCGACGACGGGUAGCCGGCCUGAGAGGGUGACCGGCCACACUGGGACUGAGACACGGCCCAGACUCCUACGGGAGGCAGCAGUGGGGAAUAUUGGACAAUGGGCGAAAGCCUGAUCCAGCAACGCCGCGUGAGGGAUGACGGCCUUCGGGUUGUAAACCUCUUUCAGUAGGGACGAAGCGAAAGUGACGGUACCUACAGAAGAAGGACCGGCCAACUACGUGCCAGCAGCCGCGGUAAUAAGGGC
rnacentral:rRNA from 1 species